GACGAACGCUGGCGGCGUGCUUAACACAUGCAAGUCGAACGGAAAGGCCCUGCUUUUGUGGGGUGCUCGAGUGGCGAACGGGGGAGUAAAACGUGAGUAACCUGCCCUUGACUUUGGGAUAACUUCAGGAAAAUGGGGCUAAUACCGGAUAGGAGCUCCUGCUGCAUGGUGGGGGUUGGAAAGUUUCGGCGGUUGGGGCUGGACUCGCGGCUUAUCAGCUUGUUGGUGGGGUAGGGGCUUACAAAGGCUUUGACGGGUAGCCGGCCUGAGAGGGUGACCGGCCACAUUGGGCCUGCGAUACGGCCCAGACUCCUACGGGAGGCAGCAGGGGGGAAUAUUGCAGAAUGGGCGGAAGCCUGAUGCAGCAACGCCGCGUGCGGGAUGACGGCCUUCGGGUUGUAAACCGAUUUCGCCUGUGACGAAGCGUUAGUGACGGUAAUGGGUAAAGAAGCACCGGCUAACUACGUG
rnacentral:rRNA from 1 species